CCCCUUCGACCGAAGUCCUGACGGUUGCCCCCGAGAGGCCGGGCGACCGCUCUCUUCGUUUCUGUUCCCCUACAGGGAUAGGAAGCGCCGGCUCGGCUCGCUCGGCCCCGAGUUACCGACCUUGCCUCCAUCUGGCGGAUCCAGCGCCUCCCUCGCGAGCCUCCAAGACAGCAGCGAGCGGCCCCUGGGCGCCGCUGGCCGAGUGAGGCCUGAGGGGGAACUAAGGCGACCCAGGGUGCAGCGGGCGCGGCUCCGGGCAUGCGCGGCGACUUCCCGCCGAGCGCCCCGCGGCCACGGUCCCGGAGCACCGGGGCGGACCGCGGAGGAGUGAAACUUAGCAGCCAUACCUAAUAAAGAGGAAUCCGAGGAAGGCAACUGGGACUGGAAACUGCUGCUGAACGAUGUCAGCUGAAGGAGAUGCUGCUGCUGAACGAUGUCAGCAGAAGGCGACUGGGAAAGGAAACAGACAGAAGAUCCCAAUACCGCAGAGCAAAGAGGCACAGGAAACAGCUUUUAUUUGUUACAUGACUCAGAACUCCAAGAAACUGAGGUUCCCAUAGGACAUUGUUUUCCAUGUGAUAUAGAAAUUAAUUUAUUUUCUAAGAAAAUAAGUACUGGUAAACACUGGUGAAGAUGUAGCUCAGGGCUGGAGCUACAAACCUAACAUUCUGGAUUUAGUCUUCAACACUGGGGGUGGGGGAGGUAUGGGGUGUCUUAGGGUUGCCGUUGCUUGGAUAGACCAACAGCUCGGGGAGGAAAGGGCUUAACUGGUUUAAUCAGCUCAGGCUUCCACAUCACAGUUCAUCACUGAAGGCUACUGACCAGCCCUCAAAGAGGACAGGAGCUGAUGUGGAGGUCAUGGAGGAAUGCUGCUCACUGGCUCAUUCCUCAGGCUUGCUCAGUCUGGCCUCUUACAGAACCCAGGACCCCAGCCCAGGGAUGGCACCACCCACACUGGACUGAGCCCUCCUCCAUCAAUCACUAAUCAAGAAAAUGCCCUACAGGCUUGUGUCAUGUUGCCUGAAAACUAGCCAGCGCAGGAGGGGAGGGCGUAGUUAUGCAGAAAC
rnacentral:lncRNA from 1 species